CUUGAAAUGGGCUGAGUCCCUCUUGCUCACCCUUGACUUGGAAAAACCAGUUUCUCUUUUAUUAGGCGGGGUUUCACCAUGUUGCCCAGACUGGUCUUGAACUCCUGAGCUUAAGCAAUCCACCUGCCUCGGCCUCCCAAAGUGUUGGGAUCACAGGCGUGAGCCACCGCAUCCGGCCUCAUGUUCUUUUUCAUUAAAGAGAGAAAUCAACUAUUCAGGACCGGCCCCCACCUUUCCUCAGGAGUCAUUUCUGUUCCGCACAGGCCUGCUGAACUGGGUGCUUUAUAUAGGAUUUCAGUGGAGUGAAGUUCAGGAGGCAUGGAGCUGACAACCAUGAGGCCUCGGCAGCCACCGCCACCACCGCCGCCGCCACCACCGUAGCAGCAGCAGCAGCAGCAGCAGCAGCAGCAGCAGCAGCAAGAGUAACUCUGACUUAGGAAUAGAGACAGCCAGAGAGAAAUGUGAUCAAUGA
rnacentral:lncRNA from 10 species